AACGCUCAAGAAUCUUAAAUCAACAAGCAUUCCGGCACUAGCGGUUCAAGCAUUAGAGCGCCAAAUCAGACAGACGCAAAACAAAGGCACAACGCUGCGGACAGCGAACAGAAAGUUGAUUCUGCUUAACGACGCCCCACUCUUCUGUUCGAAUCGUUGAAUCAUGAAAAAUCGCUAAGUAUAGAGUAGAUCUUGGAGCGUUUGGGAGAUGUCAGAAUCACAGAAAAAAGCAACUCCAUCUGCCAAAUCUAAAGAGAAAGGUUCACUGCUAGCAGAUAUAGACAUUGGAGAUGACUUUCUUGGCUCAUGGAAGUCAAUGUCCAUGGCUGGCGAUGGAAUGGAUUUUGACUUUGGAACAACCACCAAAGGCAAGAAAAUGGAUUUCAAAUUUGACAAAAUGGAUAUGGAUUUCUCUCUUGAUGCUGAUUUUGAUAAGUUGCCAUCUUUCAAGACAGACAUGUCUGAUCUUGAUAUAUCUUCUCCUAUAAAGAAAUCUGGAAAAUCGAAGGAAAAAUCCAAAGAAGCAUCUUCUGGUGGAGAGCGAGCAAAGAGAGAUGACUUUGCAUUCUCAUUUGAUUUUAAUGAGUUUCCAGAUUUAGACUUUGGGUCAACAAAGAAAAAGACAGAUGAAAAGUGUGAAAAAUCUGAAGAUAAGGAAGGUUCUGUAGACGUUUUGGAUAAAGAUGCUGAUGCAUUAAAAGAUGAUGAUAUAUCAUCAAAGCAUCCCAUAUCAAAGGCUGAUACUCAAAUGGAGAAUAUUAAGGCUCCUGAUCCCAGAAAUGAAGAUGAACACUCGAAAUCUGUAACAUAUGAAAGCUCAAAUGCUGAAGAACAUGAGAUACAGACAACACUUUCAUCUGAGAAGAUGAUUUCAUCUAGCCAUGAGGAACCAACCCAAGAAUCUCGUUCAUCAGAGGAGAGAUCUUAUUCAGAAACUCAAGCUCAAAAAGUUAUGCAAGAUUUAUCUGGUCAAUCCUUAGAUAAUGUUUCAGAAGAAGAAUCCGGAACUUCAGUUAGAAUGGUGAACCCGAGCACAGGGAGUGAGCUAAAUAGUGAUGUGAGGCCUGUGAAUGAAGUGGUUACUAAUAGAAGUUUACUACUGGAAAAUCCAUCAGCACAUAUGAAUUCAGAAAGUCACAAGAGGGAAAUGUGCAAGGAAAGGGAUCAUAAUGUCCUUAUUGGCCAUGUUGAUGAUGAUAAUAAAAGUAAAGAUGAUUCACAUCUUGAAAGUUCCAUGAAAACUGUGAAAGGCAAUUUGACUCUUGGGGAAAUGGUUGAUAAGAGGAAUGCAGAUUCAGUUUCCAAACUUCAUAUGGGCUUGCUGGAUGGUGGAACCACAACUGAUGAGUUGGUGUCAGAGAAAGAAAGAGGGAAUAUUCCUACCCGAUCAAAAUAUUUCAAGAAACAAAAUGGAAAUGAAUAUGAAAAGCAGCAGGCAUCAGUCUCUUCAACAAAACUCAUCUCUGUUGGCAAUAAAAGAAUGGGCACCUUACCAAAUAAUCCUCCACCUGGAAAAAGGGAGUUUGGUUCUAAAAGUGUAGAGUUUGGUAGCAAGUUUUCUGGUAUAUCAAGGCCACUACCCAAUGUGGUAAGCAGAAACAUUCCUCUUCAAACUAAGAACAUUGAGACAGGUCAUGCAAAUGUCAGUGAUAAUACUCGGGAAUGCUUGAAUGCUGAUAAUAUAAAACCGAGAAAUGAACCAAUGUCAACCACAAUGACACAUAAUAUUGGUCCAACCAAGGAGGAACAUGCAUCAAGGGAAAGGGACCAAAAUCCUGUACAUAUCAAUGCACUCAGGUCUGAUGUCCAUCCAUCCAAUUCAGUGGAACAGUCAACAAAAGAUCUCCCACAGAAAAGCCUAAAUCCUGGACUUCAAGCUACAAGCAUGAAAUCUACUUGUAACAUUGGGAAAACUGUUGUAGAAAAGAAGCAGAUAUCACCUGCUAAAGCUGAGAUGAGGGCAUCUCAAGCUUCUACUCUAAGGGUUUCUAGAGCUACAGAACAGAAGUUAAAGCCACUCAGUUCUAUGUUAGCAAAGGGUCCUCCAUUAAUGGGAAACAAAGAGCAAGGUUUGGAAUUGCAAGAAAAAAUGGUGCUCAAGAGGAACCCUUCUGUUGACACAAGGAGCCAAACAACAUCCACUCCAACUCUGAAGCGUAAAACAUUUGAGGCAUCUGUUGGAACACCAACAUUUACUCCAUUAAAGCGUCUCUCUGCAUCACCCUACAGUAACAAUAUGACACCAUCAUCAGAAAAAGCUGUUGAGAAACAGAUUGGCAACAAUGCCAGCAUGGCAAAUGAGAAGUCACCUAGGGUUGACGUUUCUACCCUUGAAAUGGAGAUAUAUUCUGCAUCAGAAAAUGAUGCCCUUUUUCAACAAGCUGAGGCAUGUUCCAAGGAACUUGAUGUUAUAUGUAACAUGCUGAAAAAGAAGCAUGAGGAGGCAAAGGAUAUACUUGUUCGAGCUAUUGUCAAUAACAAUAAUCUCCUCAUGCUUAAUCAUCCUAUCUAUCAACAGAAAAUCAGCAUGGUUCAGAAAUUUGCUGCAUCCCUGAGCCUUAACUAAAACUGCAACAUGUUGUGUAUCAGGUACUUUGGCCCUGUUAUUUUUUUUUUCAAUUAAAUGCUGUCUUGCACACAUGGGCUUUUUGGUCUUUUCCUUCUUUAUGAUCAUUUUCUUCCUUCAUGUGCAAGGAAAAGAUCAAAAAGACCUAGUCUGGAAGGCACAUGAAUGGGGUAAACGAACUUGGUGAGAGGGACCAGAAAAUGCUAUGAAAACGUUAAAUAGGGACCAAAAAGGAAAAAAGAUUUCUUUUUGGACUAAUACCAAAAAAUCAGCUAAAAACAAGGAUAAAAAAUGUAGGUUACUCAAAAAUAAAUGAAUACCUAAUUUGUAAACAGUUAGAGCUUUUUUUUAAUUACAUUAAGUAAAAUGGACUGCUUUGGCCCCCUUGAGUCCAUCAAGUAGAAAAGAAGUAUUACCUUUCUAUAAAUGAUGUUUCUUUAAGUUGUUAUGAUGAUAGAACAGGAGUUUUGUUUGCUUCUGUUCUGGUAGAAGAAUUGUCAGGCUGUGAAGAUUUCAGGUAUCCCGCUCCCUCACAGACCCCAAAACACCCAAAGAGUCACAGGCACAUAGCGAUUCCAGUAGCUUUGCCAUCCUUUGCCGGAGAUCUAAAAACCGAUGGAAAUCACAAGCGUAGCGUUCUUCAGUCAUUCCGCUCUCAACAAAUCUAAUUAAAAUAUUCAGAGACCCAUGGCGAUCUAUGUAAUUCCACUGCACGAGACCAAAACACCCCCAACCUUCGCAGUAGACUCUCAUUCACCUAUCUAUUCCUAGAAAUUAUCAAGAUCGAUGAUAACCGGAGCAGUCAGAGAGUUUUUGGUCAUAAUCAAGAACAACAAGAAGAAAUUAAUGACGUCUUCAACAGCCAAACAGAGGAGGGAUUCAUUUGUAAAGUUAGCGAUCGUGAAUCAUUUCAAAAUUUGUGGCAUAUGUAAAUCAGAAAAAACCUUGAAUUAAAUCAAUUAAUGUUUUCAAAUAAUAAAUAGGUACGGCCUUUGAUUGUAGUAUAUCCAGUUGGAAGAGUAGCAACUUUUCUUUCAAUGGGAAUGCUUAAAGUUGUUGGUUUAAAAGGGAAAAGUGAGCCAUCUGUGACAGAAGAUGAACUCAAGCUGAUGUUGAGGGUUGCAGAGUAGCAGAGUUGAUAUGGGGUAUUGAGGAAGAAGAGCAAGAUGCAUGAAUUUCAUGUCACUUUUGUUUCCAAGUUUCAGUAUUUCCUGAAAAUGUGUUGGAGAUAAAAGGCACCCAUGUGAAGGAUGUUAUAUAAGACUCCUCUUGUAGAUGUAGAUGUGGUUGAUUCUGGUGCAAGUUUGGUAUAUUUUCAUCACUUAUGGGCCGGGUGACUCAUUAGAAGUAUUUUGGGUUAACUUGAAACAAUUAGUUAAAGAAGGAAGUUUUCAUGAAAGAUUUAUUCAGCAGUUAUUGAAUUGGACUCAUAGGGUGCAAGUAUUUGAGGAUCGGAUUGAUAACAUUGUGGGCGUGGCUUAUGCAAUGGAUUUGUUGGAUCUUGUACAAAAAGUAAGAUGAAUUUUGAUUAUUCUGAAUCA